rnacentral:rRNA from 1 species
AUGGGGGACUUCAACGUGGCGCUGGUGAUCGUGGCGGCGGUGGUCAGCGUCCUCGUCCUGCUCGUCAGCGUCUACCUGCUCGUCAACUACCAGCACCCCGACGACGCCAACCAGGCCUGGUUCCCCAAGCUCGUCGUCGUGCUCGGCAUCACCGUCGCCGUCCUCUCCAUCCUCAUGCUCCCCGCCGACGUCGCCAACCGCCAGGCCUGCAGGCGGGCCGUCUACAGCGGCGCCUGCGCCCUCACCCUCCCCAUGAAGACGCUCUGGCUCGUCGUCUACAUCGCCGACGCCGUCCUCGUCUUCCUCGUCAUCCCCUUCGCCAUGUUCUACUACGAGGGCGACCAGGACAAGUCCGUCGGGAAGAGGCUCAAGAGCGCCCUCAUCUGGGUCGUCGCCUCCGCCGUCGUCUGCGGCCUCGUCCUCGGCAUCCUAUACGCACUUAUUGGUAAAGUGGACUUCACUGUCAGGCACCUCUCUUCAUCUGUCCAGGCAUUUCCAAACCCAAACCAGUUCAGUGCAUUCACAAGUGGCCAACCUUGCAUCGCCCCAUUGACCCGCCAGUGUUCAGCUAAUACUGCACCUCCUAACUCCCAAACAACUUGGACAAUGCGCGCUACAUUCCCCGAAUACGUGGUUGCCCUUGCUACCAUUGUUGGAUCUGUGCUCUUCACAAUAUUUGGUGGUGUUGGCAUUGCUUGCCUUCCAUUGAGUCUUAUAUUCUCGUUUGUCCGGCGUCCAAAGGCUGUCAUCACACGCUCACAGUAUAUAAAGGAAGCUACUGAAUUAGGUAAGAAGGCCAAGGAAUUGAAGAAGGCAGCGGAAGCCCUUCACCAAGAAGAGAGAAGUGGGAACAAAGGCAGAAAAUGGCGCAAAAACGUGAAGGCUGUCGAGAAGGAGUUGUUACUUUUGGAAAAUGACAUGAAUGCUCUAGAAGAGAUGUACCCUCAAGGAGAGAAGGCAGAGGCUACCUGGGCUUUUACAGUGCUUGCUUACAUUGGGAAACUCAUAUUCGGCAUUGUUGGGUUAAUUGUAUCGAUUGCUUGGGUUGCACAUAUUAUCAUAUACUUGUUGGUUGAUCCUCCUCUAUCUUCUUUCCUGAAUGAGAUCUUCAUAAAGCUGGACAGUGUUUGGGGUCUGCUUGGGACUGCUGCUUUUGCAUUCUUCUGCUUCUAUCUCCUCAUCGCAGUGAUUGCUGGGGAAAUGAUGCUUGGCCUGAAAUUAGUUUUCAUCACCAUUCACCCAAUGAAAUGGGGAGGAACUUUGAUGAAUUCGUUCCUGUUUAAUGUAGGACUGAUCCUACUCUGUUCCAUCAGUGUGAUUCAGUUCUGCGCCACAGCUUUUGCGUACUACGCACAAGCAACUGCAGCUCAGGAGAUCUUUGGCCACACGCUGCAGUCUCUUCGUGGAAUUAAGUAUCUCUACAAGUACAAUGUUUUCCAGUACGGCUUUGUUGCCCUUGCCAUACUCACCCUCUUCUACUAUGCACUUUUUGUAAGUCCUUUUUUGAAUUACUCAGCAAAUUCUGUAAAAGUUGAGCUUAUUUUAAUCACCAUAAUCUUUGUCCAGGGAUGGCGAAAGAGGAAACCGACAGGAAGAUUCCAGCUCUCAAGUUAA